GGCGAACGCUGGCGGCAGGCUUAACACAUGCAAGUCGAGCGGGCACUUUCGGGUGUCAGCGGCGGACGGGUGAGUAACGCGUGGGAACGUGCCCUCUGGUUCGGAAUAACUCAGGGAAACUUGAGCUAAUACCGGAUACGCCCUUUUGGGGAAAGGCUUGCUGCCGGAGGAUCGGCCCGCGUCUGAUUAGCUAGUUGGUGAGGUAACGGCUCACCAAGGCGACGAUCAGUAGCUGGUCUGAGAGGAUGAUCAGCCACACUGGGACUGAGACACGGCCCAGACUCCUACGGGAGGCAGCAGCGGGGAAUAUUGGACAAUGGGCGCAAGCCUGAUCCAGCCAUGCCGCGUGAGUGAUGAAGGCCUUAGGGUUGUAAAGCUCUUUUAUCCGGGACGAUAAUGACGGUACCGGAGGAAUAAGCCCCGGCUAACUUCGUG
rnacentral:rRNA from 1 species